rnacentral:misc_RNA from 1 species
AACGCACAUUGCGCCCAUUGGUAUUCCGAUGGGCAUGCCUGUUCGAGCGUCAUUAUCCUCCCUCAAACCUCGUGUUUGGCGUUGGACCGUGUUGGUUAAACGACCAACUGGUCUCAAAGACAAUGACGGCGUCCGUGGGACCCUCGGUGCAACGAGCUUCUUAGGAGCACGCGUCGAGUUUCAAGGACCUUCCGGGCCGGUCUUGACCUAUAUCUUCUUAGGUUGACCUCGGAUCAGGUAGGAAUACCCGCUGAACUUAA